GAUGAACGCUGGCGGCGUGCUUAACACAUGCAAGUCGAACGAAGCACUUUAUUUGAUUUCCUUCGGGACUGAUUAUUUUGUGACUGAGUGGCGGACGGGUGAGUAACGCGUGGGUAACCUGCCUUGUACAGGGGGAUAACAGUUGGAAACGGCUGCUAAUACCGCAUAAGCGCACGGCAUCGCAUGAUGCAGUGUGAAAAACUCCGGUGGUAUAAGAUGGACCCGCGUUGGGUUAGCUAGUUGGUGAGGUAACGGCCCACCAAGGCGACGAUCCAUAGCCGACCUGAGAGGGUGACCGGCCACAUUGGGACUGAGACACGGCCCAAACUCCUACGGGAGGCAGCAGUGGGGAAUAUUGCACAAUGGGCGAAAGCCUGAUGCAGCGACGCCGCGUGAGCGAAGAAGUAUUUCGGUAUGUAAAGCUCUAUCAGCAGGGAAGAUAAUGACGGUACCUGACUAAGAAGCACCGGCUAAAUACGUGCCAGCAGCCGCGGUAAUACGUAUGGUGCAAGCGUUAUCCGGAUUUACUGGGUGUAAAGGGAGCGCAGGCGGUGCGGCAAGUCUGAUGUGAAAGCCCGGGGCUCAACCCCGGUACUGCAUUGGAAACUGUCGUACUAGAGUGUCGGAGGGGUAAGCGGAAUUCCUAGUGUAGCGGUGAAAUGCGUAGAUAUUAGGAGGAACACCAGUGGCGAAGGCGGCUUACUGGACGAUAACUGACGCUGAGGCUCGAAAGCGUGGGGAGCAAACAGGAUUAGAUACCCUGGUAGUCCACGCCGUAAACGAUG
rnacentral:rRNA from 1 species